ACCUAACUAAAGCAUUAAAAAAUAUCGCUGUAUAGGCAUCCUUUACCAAAUUACUUUGCCCAAUCUUCCUUUUAUAUCUAUUCUUUAUUGAUGGAAUAUUACGAAUCAAACACAGAUGUAGGUGCUUUAACAGUUUAUCAUGAUCAUCGGUUGUCUUUUUUAAUACAUAACUGCAACUCAGCAUGUGGAACAGGAGUCACUCAUCUACGGUCUAGUUACGAUGUCAUAAUAUAUAAGCAUAAAAUUACUGGUGUCUAAACAACCUAACUUGAUUUUUUAAAUUCUACUACAAUAUUUCAAUUUUAACUAUCAGGUAUGAUUUUAAAUUUUAUAUCAUAAUACAAUUAUCAGGUAUUUGAGAGAAACAGCCAGUGCGUUUUGAUGUUGCAUCAUACUGGUUAUUUUGCAUUCAAUCUGUCUUGAGCUCAACGUUGGUAUAAUUAGAGCUUCUGAGUUUAUAUUUUGCAAAAUAGACAUUGGCUUCAAACAAAACAAAGAAGUUUGGUUUGUAAAUCCGUAAAAAUUGCAUUGGUAUGUGUUGAUCGUGAGUUUGGGGUUUGCCGAGAAACUCAAUUCUCUCGACAAAUAAAUGUGAAUUUGAGCAAAGGCUACAAAGUUUCUGUAAGCAUUCUUCGAUAAGUCACUUAGACGGUUCGUACUGGUGCCCAGGACCCCAAACCAUCAAUUGACUUGUCCCUGCUUUAGAAGUGUCAGGGUCAUCGCCAUUACGUCUUUACCUACUCAUAUUUUUAGCAAUUAUUCCAAUU
rnacentral:lncRNA from 1 species